UUGUCCUCUCUUGCUUUUGCCUGGUUGCCCACAGUGCCUUAUGAGACCUGGUGCUUCAGCCUUGAUUUCUUGAAUAAUUAUGGGAGCUCUCUUUUGCUACAUUUAACUUUUGGACCCUUUCUGCAGUUCUGUAGGGUGGCCAAUUGUAAAGGAGGAGGAGAAAGAUUUAAACCAUUUAUAGUUGUGCUGAUCAAAGAAUCUGGUGGAUGGUGCAGUUUGUCAUGCAAGGACAACCAGGCGUCUAGCGUUGCAGGCAGGAAAAGAAGGCAGCUGAAAGAAACAGGAGGAGUAGCCAUAGCACUUUCUUCUCUUCCUUCACUGACACCUUAAAAGCUGGCAGAGGAGGGUGCUGUGAACUGGAGAGAUGCUAAGUUACUUCUGCAAGCCAGUGAGAAAUCCAGGAAGAUUGUGGAAUCCUACUUCACCCCUGGGAAAGACCUUCAUUUUUCAUUCACACAUCUUGUGUGUCGCACAGCUGCAGAAGG